rnacentral:rRNA from 1 species
AACGAACGCUGGCGGCAUGCCUAACACAUGCAAGUCGAACGAGACCUUCGGGUCUAGUGGCGCACGGGUGCGUAACGCGUGGGAACCUGCCCUUAGGUUCGGAAUAACUCAGAGAAAUUUGAGCUAAUACCGGAUAAUGUCUUCGGACCAAAGAUUUAUCGCCUUUGGAUGGGCCCGCGUAGGAUUAGCUUGUUGGUGGGGUAAUGGCCUACCAAGGCGACGAUCCUUAGCUGGUCUGAGAGGAUGAUCAGCCACACUGGGACUGAGACACGGCCCAGACUCCUACGGGAGGCAGCAGUGGGGAAUAUUGGACAAUGGGCGAAAGCCUGAUCCAGCAAUGCCGCGUGAGUGAUGAAGGCCUUAGGGUUGUAAAGCUCUUUUACCAGGGAUGAUAAUGACAGUACCUGGAGAAUAAGCUCCGGCUAACUCCGUGCCAGCCGCCGCCGUAAUAC